AAAAUAUUAAAUAGAUAUUUUCAGGAUUAUGGUGUUGAAGCUUAUAUAGCGUUCAUUCAUAGUGGCAGUAAAAUGUUUAUUGUGUUUGAAUGUGUUUAUAUAAGUGGAGCCGUACCUGUUGGUUUGCCCCAUUAUAAGGAUACUAGCUUCUGAAAUGGACAAACUGCGUCUAGCAAUAAUGAGAUUGAGCAAUAACAGGUCUGUGAUGUCCUUAGAUGUCCUGGGCUGCAUGCGCGCUACAAUGAAAGUAUCAACGUGUAUUUUCUAGACCGAGAGGUCCGGGUAAGCCGCUGAACCACUUUCAUGCUUGGGAUUGUGAACUGAAACUGUUCACAUGAACUUGGAAUUCCCAGUAAAUUACGUCCCUGCCCUUUGUACAUACUGCCCGUCGCUGCUACCGAUUGAAUUAUUUAGUGAGAUCUCCGGACGUGAUCACUGUGACGCCUUGUGUGUUGCGUUUGUUCCCCAAAAGUUGACCGAACUUGAUUAUUUACAGGUGAAGGAUCAUUAUUGUAUAAUGUUCAUUU
rnacentral:ncRNA from 1 species